rnacentral:sRNA from 1 species
AGAGGUCUUAACUGUCACUACCAAGCAUCUCUUUUUAGUUGCACACUCAAUGAAAAUCGGCUAAAAGCUUUCUUUCAGAAAAAAUGAACUAUUAAAAAAGGACUGAUAUUGUCUAAAACAAAUC